GAUGAAGAACGCAGCGAAAUGCGAUACGUAGUGUGAAUUGCAGAAUUCAGUGAAUCAUCGAAUCUUUGAACGCACAUUGCACCUCUCGGUAUUCCGGGAGGUAUGCCUGUUCGAGCGUCAUUUGUACCCUCAAGCUCUGCUUGGUGUUGGGUGUUUGUUCCGCCUCUGUGUGUGAACUCGCCUCAAAACAAUUGGCAGCUGGCGUACUUGUUUCGGAGCGCAGCACAUUUUGCGAUCCAGAUCAACGUACAGCGGCAUCCAAGAAGCCUUAUUUAACGCUCUUGACCUCGGAUCAGGUAGGGAUACCCGCUGAACUUAAGCAUAUCAAUAAGCGGAGGA
rnacentral:misc_RNA from 1 species